UACGUAGGGGGCAAGCGUUGUCCGGAUUUAUUGGGCGUAAAGAGCUCGUAGGCGGUUCGGUAAGUCAGGUGUGAAACCUCCAGGCUCAACCUGGAGACGCCACCUGAUACUGCUGUGACUCGAGUCCGGUAGGGGAGCGUGGAAUUCCUGGUGUAGCGGUGAAAUGCGCAGAUAUCAGGAGGAACACCAGCGGCGAAGGCGGCGCUCUGGGCCGGAACUGACGCUGAUACGCGAAAGCGUGGGGAGCAAACAGG
rnacentral:rRNA from 1 species